rnacentral:lncRNA from 1 species
GCCCCCUCUGCCCGGCCCCGCGUUCGCGGCAUUUCUCACGUCCAUCUGCUCGCUCCCCAGUCUGGCCCGUGUAAGGGCCUCAGUACACCGGACGGGCUCAUGAAGCAUCUUUUUAAAGGUUAAUGGUCACUGGCGAGGGAACAAAGGGCCGCUGCGCACCUCCGCCUCUUUGAUGAUGUGGAGUUUUCAAUUAAGUGAAAACGGGAGGCGUGUCUCCUCACAGGUGCCUGGUCUGAGCACCAAGCAGCCAAGGUAGCCGCGGGGUGUCUCGAGGCUGGAACCGUCAGGCCAGAAUGUGGGCUGUCAGAAGAAAGAACACCGUUGCAAAUCUGAUCAGAUCUCCCCUGUGGUCCUGAAAUCGCUGGAGAGGGGAUUCACAUCCAGGACUCUGGGAGAAAGGCUACAGUCGCGGUCUCCAGUGUGCCAGGCAGAGCGGACAGCAAGUGAGAAGGCCCAGAGGAGGGAACAGGCCCGGAGAAUUGAGCGGCCAGAAAUGAGGCCAGUGUGCAUGAGGCAGAAGGAACAGGGAGAGUGGUGGGUGAUGGGGACACGGAGAGACUUCACCAACAGCAAGAAGAACAGAGUUAUUACUGCAAUGACAGAGGACUGGUUUCUGUGAGAAUCUAAACCAGGCUACAGAACAGAGAGAUCCUGCUUGUGCAUGAGGUCAAUACAGAGGGAAACAGCCAAACCUUGGAGAGAAAUGGAGUCUUAAAGACUUGACUUGAGCUCCUG